GUGGAUGAUGAUGCCAACAAAGGAAAUAGCAAAUUCACUGGAAGGAACGGGUUUGUGAAGCCUGAUGAGUGAUGAAUGUGAAGUAAUGUGAAGUCCUUGAGGACCAUGGAAGAUAUUUUGAAAUACAUGAGGCAAGGCCAUGAAGAUCCUUAGAGAAGGAGGGGCUUUGGGGAAAGUGGCAAAAAUCUGGCACAGCUCCUGGGGAAAUGGUAAAGAACAUUAACUAAAGACAAAUGAAAAGAUUUCCCAAGAAGGUUUACGGAUCCCACUGAGGUUGAAACAAGAGCAGCGUAAAGCUUACAAAUGACCUAAGUUUGUGAUUUUCCCCAGAUAGCACCUACUUCACCAAAGGCCACAAAGUAAUGUUUUGCAGCAAAGAAUUCAGUAGAAGGAAACAGGAAUUGAGAGAGUUGUAGGAGAACUGAAACGACUGGUCUUGAGGAUGACCCAUGUAUGAUAACACAUUGGACUGGGACUUGAGGUCAGAGAAAGGAGGAUCUAUUGAAGAACUAGUCUGCGCUUGGUACUCUGCUGAGCACUUCAUACUUCACAACAAAUUUGCAUGAAGCCAGGCACCGGUUGCAAGAAGAAGUUUCAAUGCUCCAGCAGGUAGAAAACGGGGAAUGCAGAUGCUGCUAAUGAAAGAGAACAAUGCUGCCUUCAACCUCCAGCCCACUCUUCCAGGACUAGAAAACUUAGAGUCAAUUGAGAUCCUCCUAUUCAGCUCUUGCAAGAAAAAAAGCAGCAAUGAACAGAUGAGCAGAGGGUUCUGGAGGGAGAGAGCAACAGCAAUAGCUGUGCCUGGCAUUUAGGGUGCUAGUUCACACAUUUGUAGAAUUCAGAGAAGUUUUCAUUCUCAAGUAGUAGAAUUCAGGGGAAAAAAAAAAUCUUUUAUUUUUUUUUUUAGUCUGAAAAAAAGUAUAAUCCUGAGCACUCUGAUACAGAAAACAAAAUUCAAUGUGUCCAUCCCAGGCUGUGAUUCACAAUCUAAUGUGGUCUAAUGCUUACUUAUUUCAAUCACUUGGAGCUGAAGGCAGAUUGUGAUUUUAGAAUCUCACUGGGGUUUGACCCCUGGCUCUGCCAGUUACAGCCAACCCAUCUUUGGUAAACUGCUCUUCCCUUUGGUUCCUACAGAAUCCACCUGUGCGGAAUGGAAACAAUACCAUCUCCCUGGAAGAGUCACUGCCAAGGUUAAUGAGAGCUCAGCGGAUGGCCUAGCACUUAGAAUCCUUAAUCUUCAACAGAAAAAAACAAAAGGAGAAACAUUGGCUAGGUUGAUGUUAAUAAAAUGCUAGAAAGAGUGUUUACAAAAAUGUUCACAGGUUUGUGAUAAUUGUUGAAAUGUAUUAGAAACAGUUGAGGAAAAUGGAAGAAGUGGUAUGACAAGAAAAAAAUAAUGGACUCACAAACAUUUAUAAGGAUCACGCAGAAAGCAGUACUCUCCAUAAUAAAAUCACUUGUACUUUAUGAGUCAUAAAAAUAUUUUAUUAGUUUCUUAUAAAAAAAAACUUGAAAGUGACUUUAUUACAGGAGAGCAAUAAAGAAAUAUAUUGGCAAGGAGUUUCACACAGUCUCUGCCCAGGACCAUCUGGGCCCAGGCUGAGGUAAUCACCCCUCGAAGCGCAUCCUGCCAAUCUCUUCCAAGACAUUAUAUUUGCUCUUUUGAGUAUCAGAAGCAAUUCUUGCUUUCCCAUAUUUAUGUCAGCACUUCCAAGCCUUUUCAGGUAACAAUUUCAUGCCAGGUUAAGGAACCAGAUUAUACAAGUUACAACCAACCGUUGGCUAUUAGAAUUGGUCAGACAGAAAUACAAAAUACAAAGGGUGAAUUUCAUCUUUUGAGGAAGAGGAAAAAUAAAAAUCAAAGUCAGGAAAAGUCAGCACCUAGAGUGUCCUGAACAGGAGUUUAUCUUGACGCCCGAGACAAGCAGAUGCUCUGAUGAACAUUUCAUCCCAUUCUUGGGAUGCCUGUGCUCAUAGGCAUAGAAGUGACCAAGGGGACAAGUAUGAUGGAGAACUCACUUGUUAAUAAGAAAAACAACUUCAACCAACUAAACAAUUCCCCAAGAUCUUUAAGGAUGUUUCUGGAAAGAAAAUACAAUUCCUUUCCUGGAUUUGCUUUGAAAAGCAUAAUAAAAACAGGUGACCAAUAAUGUUUGGGAAAUAUUUACUCUUUCACUCUUUCUAUUUACAUGGCAAAAGGACUUGAUAUUUCAGCAUUUCUUUUGUUGUUCCAAUCACACACCUGCAGCUCAGUUACCACCCUCUACCAGAAUCAGCAACCCCAAUUCCUCAUAGCCAUAUUCACACUAUCUAAAAGGGUACUCUGCUCUUUAGUAUAUUUUUCCCUGUGAAACUCUUGUGUGCCAUAGGAGCUGAAAUGAUCUGGUCUUCAACAGUAGUAUGUCUAUUACUGAGUCUCCUAGAACGCUUUUUUUUUUUUUUUCUAGAACCCUUUUUGAUUGCAGUUUGUAAAACAUGGACCUUGACUAAAGAAAAAUGGUCUCGUGGCUGCAGAAAUACCCUAAUUUAUAUUGUGCCCCAAAUAUGUCACAGUUACCAUACCUCAGUCUGGGCUGUACUUUUUGGCUGGAUAUAAUCUUUACCAAUCAGCGAAAGAGAGGUUAUCUGACCUGAAACAGGCUAGAGACAGGUGCCAAGCACUGAUUCUAUCUCAGGUGAUGGCUUUUGUUGCUUGAGCUGACCUCUUAAAUGCAGGGUUUCUAGAAACACAAUUUAUGGAUAUUACCCUGCAUUAUUAUUAAGUUAAGGAAAAACAAUGAUAUCUAAGCCAAAGAGAAGAAUUUCUUUCUUUUUUUUAUGAGCCAUAACAUAAGUGAAGUGGAAUAACAAAAAAUCACUUCAUUGGUUCAGAAUUAUGACUCUGGUAGUUUCAUUUAAGGUUUCAAUCAGCUUCCAGCAUUGUGAUCAUUAUUUUUGUCAAAUAAAGCAUAAUAAGCAGCUAUAAACUCAGACAGGAAAUUCUUUUAUGAGGCAUAAAUAUCCUUGGAAUUAAAAAUAACAUAUUGAACCAACUAUAUACAACUACAGCCCAUGAAAAGGACUUUAUGUCACUUGAUAUUGAUGCAUGAAUAUUGAUAUAACUUAAAACAAUUGAUUGUCAGAAACUUCAAAUAUGAACUGGGAGUAAGUCUGUUGUGACAUACUUAUUUUUAAA